GACGAACGCUGGCGGCGUGCUUAACACAUGCAAGUCGAACGGAAAGGCCCUGCUUUUGUUGGGUGCUCGAGUGGCGAACGGGUGAGUAACACGUGAGUAACCUGCCCUUGACUUUGGGAUAACUUCAGGAAACUGGGGCUAAUACCGGAUAGGAGUUCCUGCUGCAUGGUGGGGGUUGGAAAGUUUCGGCGGUUGGGGAUGGACUCGCGGCUUAUCAGCUUGUUGGUGGGGUAGUGGCUUACCAAGGCUUUGACGGGUAGCCGGCCUGAGAGGGUGACCGGCCACAUUGGGACUGAGAUACGGCCCAGACUCCUACGGGAGGCAGCAGUGGGGAAUAUUGCACAAUGGGCGGAAGCCUGAUGCAGCAACGCCGCGUGCGGGAUGACGGCCUUCGGGUUGUAAACCGCUUUCGCCUGUGACGAAGCGUGAGUGACGGUAAUGGGUAAAGAAGCACCGGCUAACUACGUG
rnacentral:rRNA from 1 species